rfam:Salmo salar isolate Sally breed double haploid chromosome ssa16, whole genome shotgun sequence.
UGUAUGCACGCAUGUAAGUCGCUUUGGAUAAAAGCAUCUGUUAAAUGGCAUAUA